UUGUUCUAGUAAGAGAUUUAAAUGUUGUUAAGUUUUGUUCUAUUAAAUAUUGUUCAGUUUUGUUUGAUUAAAGGGUUUAAAUAUUGGUAAAAAUUGUUCUAUUAAGGUUCAAGUUUCAAGUUUAUUUUAUUUUUAUAACACCAGUGAUGCAUUUUGGACCAACUGAAAAUGGGCCAAAGAAGUGGCAUUCAUUCCACAAUACAAUGAAUUGCAGUAAUCUAAACAUGAUGAAAUAAUUUUAGAAAGAAGAUGGAGAUUAAAAAAGCCAGAUCUAACCACUAAUUUUACUUGUUUAUCAAAUAUCAACUUGCUGUCAGUCAAGAUUUCAAAACUGGUCAAUAUUGUUCUAUGAAGAGAUUAAAAUAUUGGUCGGUUUUGUUUUAUUAAGAGAUUUAAAUAUUGGUUAUAUUGUUCCAUUAAGAGAAUUAAUUAAUGUUCAGUUUUGUUCUGUUAAGCAAUUCAAAUGUAAACUGUUUUUGUUGUCAGCAAGAGUAAGCAAUUCUAAAAAAGUAUUAAUAUAAAAUAUGGCUGUUUGUCGCAAGGUGUAAAUUCUGAAGAAGUCUGAAAACACUGAUUCUCGGUCAAAUGCAUGAUGAUUCAAAAGUACAGUAUGACUUGUGAUUUGCUUGUACAGUUUGUGCAUGUUAUGUACAUAACAGUGCCUGAGUUUGCAGAUGGCUGGGAACCAGCGUUGGUGUUGUUGUAGAUGUUCUCUGUAGAGUUGAUGCUCUGAAAUCAGUUACAGUUGUUUGUGAGCGCUCUGGGUGGAUGUGUUCAGGUGUAGCUGUAACUUUCACUGGUAUGUCAGGGCUUGAGGUCUGAACCAGUGUUGUUGAGUCUGAGGAAAUAGUCAAACUAGAAUUAAGUGUUAUAUAAUUUGUUGUGGACUGAGAUGAUUGCGAUUCUGUCACAGGUGUUGGAGUUUCUUGACUGUCAUUUAGCAGAUUUUCUGAUGGAGAUGACAUAGAUGCUGCUUUCUGUACAUUUAUCAGUGUGCUUUUGAAGUCUGUCAGUGUUGAUGUUGUAAAUGAAGGCUCUGCAGUAUAUUCAUUGUCUGGCGUGAUUGGUGACGAUGGAGGCUGAAUAAGUGCAGUGGCAGCAGCAAAUGUUUGAGACAUUUGUGUUUUCAGAUGGUUGAAAGAUGUAGUAUUUAAUUCAUUAAUAGAUUGGUAGAUUGCUGGCGAGUAAGAAGUGUCACUUAGAGAAGUGUUCUUCAGUUGUGUAGUUGGUUGAAUGGUUGAGUGAGACUCGGCUGUACUUGUGUUUGUGAGGGUAUUUGGUUCUGAUGUUUUGGUGAAGAUAGAUGAACUUGAGUCUGGAGUUGUUGUAGAGGAAAUCAUUGUAGUUGUCGAUUCAUUUGAUGUUAUGGUGACUUGAGUAUGGUCUGAUGACUCAAGCUGUUGUGUUGUUGUAACAGUGGAGUAUGAUGUUUUAGAAGACGGAAAUGAAGAGCCUGUAGUUGUAGACGCAAGCAUUGUUGUUGUCGAUUCAGAAAAUGAUGUCUUUGUGACACUACUGUUGGUUGAAGUUUCGGUUGUUGGCUCAGGUUUUUGGGUACCAGUUAAUGUUCCAGUAAUCCAAGAAAUGGAUGUAUUGCUGUCUGAGGUUUGCUCUACAUUAUAUUGUGUUUUGGAAUCAGUGGUGGUAAUGGAAUUAUUGUUUGCAUGAAUUGGAGUCAGUUUAGGUGUCUCAGAUGUUGUUGAUGUAUCCGAGCUAGUUGUUUUAGUGCUUCCUGUUGAACUGAUCCCAUGUGCAGUAGCAUUGGUUAAGGGCUCCGUUGUUUGAGUGGCAAUGCUUUGUUGGUUUGAUGUUGAGUCAGAAGUGUCACUGAGAGAAGUGUUCUUCAGUUGUGUAGUUGGUUGAAUGGUUGAGUAAGACUCGGCUGAACUUGUGUUUGUGAGGGGAUUUGGUUCUGAUGUUUUGGUGAAGAUAGAUGAACUUGAGUCUGGAGUUGUUGUAGAGGAAAACAUUUUAGCUGUCGAUUCAUUUGAUGUGAUGGAGACUUGAGUAUGGUCUGAUGAAUCAAGCUGUUGUGUUGUUGUCACAAUGGAGUAUGAUGUUAUAGAAGACGGAAAUAAAGAGCCUGUAGUUGUUGUAGGUGCAAGCAUUGUUGCUGUCAAUUCAGAAAAUGCUGUCUUAGUGAAAUUACUGUUGGUUGAAGUUUUGAUUGUUGGCUCAGGUUUUUGGGUACCAGUUAAUGUUCCAGUAAUCCAAGAAAUGGAUGUAUUGCUGUCUGAGGUAUGCUCUACAUUAUAUUGUGUUUUGGAAUCAGUGGUGGUAAUGGAAUUAUUGUUUGCAUGAAUUGGAGUCAGUUUAGGUGUCUCAGAUGUUGUUGAUGUGUCCGAGCUAGUUGUUUUAGUGCUUCCUGUUGAACUUAUCCCAUGUGCGGUGGCAUUGGUUAAGGGCUCCAUGGUUUGAGUGGCAAUGCUUUGUUGUUCUGAUAUUGAGUCAGAAGUGUCACUAAGAGAAGUGUUCUUCAGUUGUGUAGUUGGUUGAAUAGUUGAGUGAGACUCAGUUGUACUUGUGUUUGUGAGGGUAUUUGGUUCUGAUGUUUUGGUGAAGAUAGAUGAACUUGAGUCUGUAGUUGUUGUAGAGGAAAUCAUUUUAGCUGUCGAUUCAUUUGAUGUGAUGGAGACUUGAGUAUGGUCUGAUGACUCAAGCUGUUGUGUUGUUGUCACAGUUGAGUAUGAUGUUAUAAAAGACGGAAAUAAAGAGCCUGUAGUUGUUGUAGGUGCAAGCAUUGUUGCUGUCAAUUCAGAAAAUGCUGUCUUAGUGAAAUUACUGUUGGCUGAAGUUUUGAUUGUUGGCUCAGGUUUUUGGGUGCCAGUUAAUGUUCCAGUAAUCCAAGAAAUGGAUGUAUUGCUGUCUGAGGUAUGCUCUACAUUAUAUUGUGUUUUGGAAUCAGUGGUGGUAAUGGAAUUAUUAUUUGCAUGAAUUGGAGUCAGUGUAGGUAUCUCAGAUGUUGUUGAUGUGUCCGAGUUAGUUGUUUUAGUGCUUCCUGUUGAACUGAUCCCAUGUGCAGUAGCAUUGGUUAAGGGCUCCGUUGUUUUAGUGGCAAUGCUUUGUUGGUUUAAUGUUGAGUCAGAAGUGUCACUGAGAGAAGUGUUCUUCAGUUGUGUAGUUGGUUGAAUGGUUGAGUAAGACUCGGUUGUACUUGUGUUUGUGAGGGUAUUUGGUUCUGAUGUUUUGAUGAAGAUAGAUGAACUUGAGUCUGGAGUUGUUGUAGAGGAAAUCGUUGUAGUUGUCGAUUCAUUUGAUGUGAUGGAGACUUGAGUAUGGUCUGAUGAAUCAAGCUGUUGUGUUGUUGUCACAGUGGAGUAUGAUGUUUGAGAAGACACAUCAGGGGAUGCUAAUGAAGAGUUUGGAGUUGUUGUAGGCACAAUUAUUGUUGUUGUCAAUUCAGUAUAUGAUGUCUUUGUGACACUACUGUUGGUUGAAGUUUCGGUUGUUGGCUCAGGCCUUUGGGUACCAGUUAAUGUUCCAGUAGACCAAUAAAUGGAUGUAUUGCUGUCUGAGGUAUGCUCUACUUUAUAUUGUGUUUUGGAAUCAGUGGUGGUAAUGGAAUCAUUGUUUGCAUGAAUUGGAGUCAGUAUAGGUGUCUCAGAUGUUGUUGAUGUGUCCGAGCUAGUUGUUUUAGUGCUUCCUGUUGAACUUAUCCCAUGUGCAGUGGCAGUGGUUAAGGGCUCCAUGGUUUGAGUGGCAUUGCUUUGUUGUUUUGAUGUUGAGUCAGAAGUGUCACUGAGAGAAGUGUUCUUCAGUUGUGUAGUUGGUUGAAUGGUUGAGUAAGACUCAGUUGUACUUGUGUUUGUGAGGGGAUUUGGUUCUGAUGUUUUGGUGAAGAUAGAUGAACUUGAGUCUGGAGUUGUUGUAGAGGAAAUCAUUUUAGCUGUCGAUUCAUUUGAUGUGAUGGAGACUUGAGUAUGGUCUGAUGACUCAAGCUGUUGUGUUGUUGUCAUAGUGGAGUAUGAUGUUAUAGAAGACGGAAAUAAAGAGCCUGUAGUUGUUGUAGGUGCAAGCAUUGUUGCUGUCAAUUCAGAAAAUGCUGUCUUAGUGAAAUUACUGUUGGUUGAAGUUUUGAUUGUUGGCUCAGGCCUUUGGGUACCAGUUAAUGUUCCAGUAAUCCAAGAAAUGGAUGUAUUGCUGUCUGAGGUUUGCUCUACAUUAUAUUGUGUUUUGGAAUCAGUGGUGGUAAUGGAAUUAUUGUUUGAAUGAAUUGGAGUCAGUUUAUGUGUCUCAGAUGUUGUUGAUGUGUCCGAGCUAGUUGUUUUAGUGCUUCCUGUUGAACUGAUCCCAUGUGCAUUGGCAUUGGUUAAGGGCUCCAUGGUUUGAGUGGCAAUGCUUUGUUGUUUUGAUGUUGAGUCAGAAGUGUCACUGAGAGAAGUGUUCUUCAGUUGUGUAGUUGGUUGAAUGGUUGAGUGAGACUCGGUUGUACUUGUGUUUGUGAGGGUAUUUGGUUCUGAUGUUUUGGUGAAGAUAGAUGAACUUGAGUCUGGAGUUGUUGUAGAGGAAAACAUUUUAGCUGUCGAUUCAUUUGAUGUGAUGGAGACUUGAGUAUGGUCUGAUGAAUCAAGCUGUUGUGUUGUUGUCACAAAUUGUGUAUGGUCUGAUGAAUCAAGCUGUUGUGUUGUUGUCACAGUGGAGUAUGAUGUUUGAGAAGACACAUCAGGGGAUGCUAAUGAAGAGUUUGGAGUUGUUGUAGGCACAGUUAUUGUUGUUGUCGAUUCAGUAUAUGAUGUCUUUGUGACACUACUGUUGGUUAAAGUGUCGGUUAUUGGCUCAGGCCUUUGGGUGCCAGUUAAUGUUCCAGUAGACCAAGAAAUAGAUGUAUUGCUAUCUGAGGUUUGCUCUACUUUAUACUUUGUUUUGGAAUCAGUGGUGGUAAUGGAAUCAUUGUUUACAUGAAUUGGAGUCAGUUUAGGUGUCUCAGAUGUUGUUGAUGUGUCCGAGCUAGUUGUUUUAGUGCUUCCUGUUGAACUGAUCCCAUGUGCAGUGGCACUAGUUAAGGGCUCCGUUGUUUGAGUGGCAAUGCUUUGUUGGUUUAAUGUUGAGUCAGAAGUGUCACUGAGAGAAGUGUUCUUCAGUUGUGUAGUGGCUUGAAUGGUGGAGUAAGACUCGGUUGUACUUGUGUUUGUGAGGGGAUUUGAUUCUGAUGUUGUGGUGAAGAUAGAUGAACUUGAGUCUGGAGUUGUUGUAGAAACAGAGACAUAAAGGUCUGGAGAAUAACUGGCAGUAAAAGUAGGGGCAGUUUGGCAGCAAUCUAGAGGAAAGUAAGAAUUCAAGAUUCCUGAAAAUAAAAACAGGACAUACUUUUUCAGAUACAUGUGAUAGACGGCUCUGUUUUUAUUACUCUUGAAGGUAAUGUAAAUAUUGUAAGUGAUACUCUGAGAGCUUAUAUUAAGUUAUUAUAUGAUAUUGAAAUUCAGUACGAAAUUCAUACUCCCCAAAAGUAUUAGUAUAAAGCUGGGACACAGUUGACUGAAUUUAUGUUUUGAUUUAAUAUAAAAG
ensembl:lncRNA